rnacentral:rRNA from 1 species
GAUGAACGCUGACAGAAUGCUUAACACAUGCAAGUCAGCUUGAACUUCGGUUUGGGUGGCGGACGGGUGAGUAACGCGUAAAGAACUUGCCUCACAGAUAGGGACAACAUUUGGAAACGAAUGCUAAUACCUGAUAUUAUGAUUAUAUGGCAUCGUAUAAUUAUGAAAGCUAUAUGCGCUGUGAGAGAGCUUUGCGUCCCAUUAGCUAGUUGGAGAGGUAACGGCUCACCAAGGCGAUGAUGGGUAGCCGGCCUGAGAGGGUGAUCGGCCACAAGGGGACUGAGACACGGCCCUUACUCCUACGGGAGGCAGCAGUGGGGAAUAUUGGACAAUGGACCAAGAGUCUGAUCCAGCAAUUCUGUGUGCACGAUGAAGUUUUUCGGAAUGUAAAGUGCUUUCAGUUGGGAAGAAAAAAAUGACGGUACCAACAGAAGAAGUGACGGCUAAAUACGUG